AUUGAUGAGAAAUAUUUUAUUUUUACAAUGAAUUUUAUUUUGAAACAAUGACAUAUUAAAUUACUACUACCAUGCGACAAAUGUUCUAGCAUAUCGUUGCGGGCAUAUCGCGGACAGGCAACUGAAUUAAUUACAACGCUCGAGACGCUUCCCGGCGAAGUUAAAUAAGCGUUAACGUUGAAUUUUCAUUUCCCGCCAUGUUGACGCCGAAACCAGCCGAAUUUCAGGGACGAUCGCAAAGCUGUGCCACGUGCGAUAUCAAGGCUAUAUUUCAACAAUAGGAAAAAAUGAAAGUAGUACGAUAGUUGCACAAUAUUGAAUCAGGAAGUUGAAUCAGAAAAGAAGAAAAAUAUAUUAUUUAUAUAAAAAACGAAAAACAAAUCGACAAAAUAGUUCAACUUGUAAAGUUAUAUAUUUGUAUACUACCACUAAUAUGAAGAUAUUUUACGAAAUGAAUCGGCUAUUACGAAAGUUUCAACUUUGAUAAAACUAAUAUGACACACUCAGCUACAAAUUUCCGUUUUAAAAUCUAAAUUUCUUAAAAAUAAAUAGAAAUCUAAAUCUUUUAUAUCCAUGGUCAACAAGUUUAUAAGAAGAAUUAAAGUAAUUUCAUACUUGUCACGCACGAAAUGAAGUAUGUAUACCGGAAGUCAAUGUUCUAAGCUUAGUUAGUCAAUCGGAUUACAAUACACGAAACUAGAGACAUAGAAAGGCCAUGAAAAAAAUAUAUUUACAAUGAACAAAAUAUUUAGAAGAAGAAAGAUCAUAGAAACAGUAAGAACAUAACGUAAAUCACAUGAUCGAAGAAGCUCAUGGAAAAAUUAAGUAUUAUUUAAUUUAAUUAUCAUUAAACAUGAUUUUAAAACCUUAUGUAACAACAAUAGAGAAUAAAAUAAAUGAAUUUCUUUCUCUCAUCAUAUAAUAAAUUGCACAAAAGAUAAUACCCCACAAUAAAACCGUUAAUAUUUCAUUGUUUUUCAAAAAUUCCUUUCGUUUAUAUGCGUAUAUAUAUGUAUAUGUGGUAUGUGUAAAUGUUGGCGAUGUUCUGUUGACAUGAAGAACCGUUAGAAGGAUUCUAAUAUUCGUUCAUGUGUUAUUACUAAUCUAUUCCCGAAAACGAGUUUACAACGAACGCACUAUGAAGUUUCCAACAUUUAAAAAUACCAAAUAACGAUCUUUUCUAAUAAUAUGUAUUGAACGAUGUCAUUAGAAUGGAUACUAAAAAUUUUAGGAAUAAUCGAGAAUAAAAAAAAA